CCUGUUGCUUUUCUUUCUCCACUCCCAGUGCUCCAAGCCAGCCUUGCCCUGACUGCUUUCCUUUCUGCACUCCCAGUGCUCCAAGCCAGCCUUGCCCUGACUGCUUUCCUUUCUGCACUCCCAGUGCUCCAAGCCAGCCUUGACUGCUUCCUCCUGCACUCCCAGUGCUCCACGCCAGCCUUAUAUUGCUUCCUCCUGCACUCCCACUGCUCCAAGCCAGCCUUGACUGCUUCCUUUCUGCACUCCCAGUGCCUAGUCUCCUUGACUCUCUAUCUGGAGAGAACAGCCUCUCUCCUACCUGCUUCCUGGGAGGAAGCCAGCAAUCCCUCCCUUUUUCCUGCCUAGCCGGGAGGGGUUUAUUCCCACUGCAACAG